CAGUCGCCGCGGGAAUACGAAGGGUGCAAGCGUUACUCGGAAUUACUGGGCGUAAAGCGUGCGUAGGUGGUUGUUUAAGUCUGCUGUGAAAGCCCUGGGCUCAACCUGGGAAUUGCAGUGGAUACUGGGCAACUAGAGUAAGGUAGAGGAUAGUGGAAUUUCCGGUGUAGCAGUGAAAUGCGUAGAGAUCGGAAGGAACAUCUGUGGCGAAGGCGACUAUCUGGGCCAUUACUGACACUGAGGCACGAAAGCGUGGGGAGCAAACAGGAUUAGAUACCCCGGUAGUCCCUGUCUCUUAUAC
rnacentral:rRNA from 1 species